GGUACAGCUAUGGGGCAGAGCUGUGGGGCAGGGAGAGCUGUGGGGCACGGAUCUAUGGGGCAGAGCCGUGGGGCAGAGCUGUGGGUCUGGCUGGAGCUAUAGGGCAGAGUACAGCUAUGGGGCACGGAUCUAUGGGGCAGGGAGAGCUGUGGGGCACAGAUCUAUGGGGCAGAGUUGUUGGGCAGAGCUGUGGGGCCGGCUGUAGCUAUACGGCAGAGUACAGCUGUGGGGCAGAGCUGUGGGGCACAGAUCUAUGGGGCAGGGAGAGCUGUGGGGCACAGAUCUAUGGGGCAGAGCUGUGGGGCAGAGCUGUGGGUCCGGCUGUAGCUAUAGGGCAGGGAGAGCUAUGGGGCACAGAUCUAUGGGGCAGAGCGAGCUGUGGGGUACAGAUCUAUGGGGCAGAGCUGUGGGUCCGGCUGUAGCUAUAGGGCAGGGAGAGCUAUGGGGCACCGAUCUAUGGGGCAGGGAGAGCUGUGGGGCAGAGCUGUGGGGCACAGAUCUAUGGGGCACAGCUAUGGAGCAGAGCUAUGGGGCAGAGCCGUGGGGCAGAGCUGUGGGUCUGGCUGUAGCUAUAGGGCAGGGAGGGCUGUGGGGCACAGAUCUAUGGGGCAGGGAGAGCUAUGGGGCAGAGCUGUGGGGCAGGGAGAGCUGUGGGUCCAGCUGUAGCUAUAGGGCAGGGUACAGCUAUGGGGCACAGAUCUAUGGGGCAGGGAGAGCUGUGGGGUACAGAUCUAUGGGGCAGAGCUAUGGGGCAGAGCCAGGGGGCAGAGCUGUGGGUCCGGCUGUAGCUAUGGGGCUGAGUACAGCUAUGGGGCACGGAUCUAUGGGGCAGAGCUGUGGGGCAGGGAGAGCUGUGGGUCCAGCUGUAGCUAUAGGGCUGGUACAGCUAUGGGGCAGAGCCGUGGGGCAGAGCUGUGGGGCAGAGCUGUGGGGCACAGACCUAUGGGGCAGAGCUGUGGGGCAGGGAGAGCUGUGGGUCCGGCUGUAGCUAUAGGAGUAGGUACAGCUGUGGGGCACAGAUCUAUGGGGCAGGCAGAGCUAUGGGGCAGAGCUGUGGGGUAGAGCU
rnacentral:lncRNA from 1 species